CACACAUUUUGUAACAGAAAAUUUUUCAUCCUUUCACUGCGUUGUAGAUCAGCCCUCAUCUGCAUCUCCUCAGAUUGAUUCAGCUCAGAUCCCGCAGGCUAAACAACCUUGUGUGCGAUCAGUGCUGGACUAGGAGCUGCCCAAGGCUGGCACAGUGUGCACAGGAAGGGGCACGGAGUAUCCAAGAUGGGUGCUCAUCCUCCUGGAAAGGUAACACGGGGCAGUGUAGCUGGAAGGGUUCAGUUGCCAAGCCAAAGUUCAGAAAUCUGAUGGGGAUUUUUGCAAGUGUAAGAAGCUGGUAUUAAUGCCAGGAACACCAUCUCUUUUCUGCCUCCUUUUAAAUUCUUCGAUAUCAAUUGGAAAAGGCCUUUUUCAAUACAUCUCGGAAGCACUUGAGAUGCGGAGGGCGUUGUCAGACAGUAUUCCAGAGAGGUGUCUGCUCUGUUGAAAUGCUUCCUCUAUAUGGUGGUCACAGAGAUUUGGGCUGGAAAGCAGAUAUUCAUGGAGUGGCUGGUGUUCUGCAGGCUGGCUGAUAUUCCACACAACAUUUUUUCCGUCGUUCGCAUUCCUCUGCUUACUUUUCAGAGAAGACAUGAAGCAGGCUCCCUUCUGCUACUUGCAGACUGUAGCCUUUUACAAGAGUUUGGAUGUGGGAGCAGUGAUUUCCCUGGGCUGGACUGUUGCUGGAAGCUGGCUGCCUGACAGCUGUCUGAUGAAGAGCCGCAAUGAACAGCGCAAAGUGCUGUGUCAGGCGUGGCUGAGUUGUGUCAGCCGUUAGCAGAGCGUUGGCUGAGGACGUCUUUUGCCUUUGCCCGAGUGUCACAUUUGCAAUGCUUAAAAUGUGAAUAUAGGGAGUGACCGGCCAUGUGUGCGGCCACCUUGCGCUGGGCCUCUGCAGAGGAGGCUGAUGCACUCUUGGACUGGGAUUCACGAAGCCCUGCAUGAGCCCAAGCUUCGCAGCUACGUUGUUCGAUCGCGUCUCCCUCGGAGCCUCAGUUUCCCUUUCUGUAAAGUAGGGAAAUGGGUGAUCUCCUUCAUGAAGUGCUUGGAGAUUCAGGACUCGUCUCCCUCAGAUGAGAGCAAGGCAAUUGCUAGAAACACCCAAGACAGUUCACCUACCAAAAAGUUUAAAAUUUGAGCAGUGCGAAGGCUGUAUAUGAAAACCUGGCCGAAGCAGAGUCCUCUCAGCCGGGGGCUGGAACCGGACGCUUUCCGAAAGGGGCCAGGAGCUCUGCAUUGGCCAGCUGCAGAAUAACUGCGGGGUGUUUCUUCCAAAGCGCCCUUCGUUGGCGGUUGGCUCUUGUCCUGCAAUAAAGGAUUUUGGUAGUGUUUUAGUAAACCA
rnacentral:lncRNA from 1 species